GUGGGAGGGAGGACUGGACAUGUAAAUUAUGUGCCAGGAAAUGAAUUCCUUACAAUGUCUCUUGCCAGAAGCUAAACCCUAGCAAAUCCCACACAGUUCAGGAUACCAUGCAUCCCAGCACGUGCAAUGCCAUGGACAUAACCAGUACCAGUUUCCUUGAAGAAUUCUGUGGGUAAAAGCGUUGGACACUUUCAGAUAGGUAUCAGCAGGUUAAGGAUUAGACAAACUCAUGGUCAACAGGUCAUCAUCAAAUGGACUAAAAGGGGGUACAUUCCUGCCUAGCCCCGAACAGCCAGUACCAUGGUUCUGGAUGCCAAGAAGCCGAGGGGACAUGGGCCACUGGUCUGGCCCAGCAGAGCAUUUCUUCCUUUCUUAAGUGUAAAUAUGAAUAGCAACAGAAACAAUAAUAAAAAAAUAUAGGCAAAAAAGAACAAAAAAAAAGAAAAUUAUUACUUACCUAUCUGUUCUUUUAUGUAAAUUUGUCUCUCUCUUCCUACUGUAAAAAUAGCUAGAGAAUACUGAAUAAAUAUGCUAGUGACUGACACUGAUUUGUAAUGCGGGGUCAGAAUUUAGCUCAAAUGCUGCUUUUCUCUUUUGAAAAAGCAGCAGCGAUUUUUAAGGUGAUUAGUAAUUGUGGUGUCUUUUAACUUGACAAUGUGAAUUAUUCCUAGCGUGG